CAGUAGAGAAGGUGAUGGAGCCCAGUACUGGUGUGAAACCAAGCUGGAGCUGGGACCAGCUGGACCACAGCGCCCCCCAGUGGUGACAUCAGAAAAACUCCCUGCUAUAGUUCACUAUGGGCCUGAGCUAAAGGAGCCACCAAAUCCAGAUGUGAUCACAAUCACAGAAGGAGACACUCUACACCUGAACUGCUCCUCUGUGGGAAACCCCAGCCCCUCAUACACCUGGACACUUCCAACAAAUAGUCCUUCCUACAGUGGCAGCGUUCUCACUAUUAAAUCUGUCGGCUUUGAGCAUGAAGGACAGUAUAUCUGCACUGUGAGCAACACAGUAGGGACUGUCACCAAGGAGUUUAACAUUGAUGUACAAGUCAACUCCAUCCCAUAUAUAAUAGCUGGGA